rnacentral:rRNA from 1 species
UACGAGUGCCCCGAGCGUUAUCCGGAAUUACUGGGCGUAAAGGGCGCGUAGGCGGUCUACUAAGUUGGAUGUGAAAACUCUGGGCUUAACUCAGAGCCUGCAUUCAAAACUGAUAGGCUGGAGUUCUGGAGGGGAUAGCGGAAUUCCUGGUGUAGCGGUGAAAUGCGCAGAUAUCAGGAGGAACACCGGUGGCGAAGGCGGGUUCUCU